rnacentral:miRNA from 1 species
UCUGGGCUGCCUCGUCACCAACC